AUGUUGCUGCGGCUGAGGUCGAAGAGGUUUCCGCCUGUGUUCUCCUCAAGGAUUUUGAUGGAUUCCUUUCGCACAUUGAGGUCCUUCAUCCAUUUUGAGUCUAUUUUCGUGUGUGGUGUAAGGAAAUGGUCCAAUUUCAUUUUUCUGCAUGUGGUACGAGAAGAAUAAAUGAAACAAGAUGGGAUUGGGAGGGAGACAAACCAUAAGUGACUCUUAAUCUCACAAAACAAACUGAGGGUUGCUGGGGGGAGGGGGUUUGGGAGAAGGGGGUGGGAUUAUGGACAUUGGGGAGGGUAUGUGCUUUGGUGAGUGCUGUGAAGUGUGUAAACCUGGU
rnacentral:lncRNA from 1 species